UGUCCGGUAGCACCUUAGAGACCAACUAAGUUUGUUUUUGGUAUGAGCUUGGUAUGCACAUGAAAGCUCAUACCAAGAACAAACUUAGUUGGUCUCUAAAGUGCUACUGGACA